rnacentral:rRNA from 1 species
GACGAACGCUGGCGGCGUGCCUAACACAUGCAAGUCGAACGAAGAGCGAUGGAGGGUUUCUUCUAUCGAUCUUAGUGGCGCACGGGGGAGUAACGCGCAAUCAACCUGCCCUUCACAUGGGGACAACAGUUGGAAACGACUCCUAAUUCCCCAUACCAUCUAAUCUCUGCAUCCAGGAUAGAUGAAGGGUGGCCGCUACAGGUAAGCUAUCACUGAGGGUGGGGAUUGCGUCUGAUUAGCUAGUUGGAGGGGUAACGGCCGUACAAGGCGAAGGACCGUAGGCGGGCUUGAAGGGAGGACGGCCACAACGGGACUGAGAACAGGCCCAGGAUCCUACCGGAAGGAACAGGGGGGAAAUAUCCGAAAUGGACGAAAGUCUGAAGGAGCAACGCCGCGGGAGGGAUGACGGCCCUCGGGUUGUAAAGCUCUGUUAGUCGGGACGAAAAGCCUUCUUGCGAAUAGUGAGAAGGAUUGACGGUACCGGAAUAGAAAGCCACGGCUAACUACGUG